AGAGUUUGAUCCUGGCUCAGGAUGAACGCUAGCGACAGGCUUAACACAUGCAAGUCGAGGGGCAGCGGGGGUAGCAAUACCUGCCGGCGACCGGCGCACGGGUGAGUAACGCGUAUGCAACUUGCCUAUCAGAGGGGAAUAGCCCGGCGAAAGUCGGAUUAAUGCUCCAUAAAACAGGGGUCCCGCAUGGGAAUAUUUGUUAAAGAUUCAUCGCUGAUAGAUAGGCAUGCGUUCCAUUAGGCAGUUGGCGGGGUAACGGCCCACCAAACCGACGAUGGAUAGGGGUUCUGAGAGGAAGGUCCCCCACAUUGGAACUGAGACACGGUCCAAACUCCUACGGGAGGCAGCAGUGAGGAAUAUUGGUCAAUGGACGAGAGUCUGAACCAGCCAAGUAGCGUGAAGGAUGAAGGACCUACGGAUUGUAAACUUCUUUUAUAAGGGAAUAAACCCUCCCACGUGUGGGAGCUUGUAUGUACCUUAUGAAUAAGCAUCGGCUAACUCCGUGCCAGCAGCCGCGGUAAUACGGAGGAUGCGAGCGUUAUCCGGAUUUAUUGGGUUUAAAGGGUGCGUAGGUGGUUGUUUAAGUCAGCGGUGAAAGUUUGUGGCUCAACCAUAAAAUUGCCGUUGAAACUGGAUGACUUGAGUAUAUUUGAGGUAGGCGGAAUGCGUGGUGUAGCGGUGAAAUGCAUAGAUAUCACGCAGAACUCCGAUUGCGAAGGCAGCUUACUAAACUAUAACUGACACUGAAGCACGAAAGCGUGGGGAUCAAACAGGAUUAGAUACCCUGGUAGUCCACGCAGUAAACGAUGAUUACUAGGAGUUUGCGAUAGACAGUAAGCUCUACAGCGAAAGCGUUAAGUAAUCCACCUGGGGAGUACGCCGGCAACGGUGAAACUCAAAGGAAUUGACGGGGGCCCGCACAAGCGGAGGAACAUGUG
rnacentral:rRNA from 1 species